rnacentral:lncRNA from 1 species
GUAAAUUCUUUGAGGUCAGGGACUAUUUCAUCCUUAUCUAUAUAUCUACAUCAUUUCAUAUAGUGCCAAUACAGCAUCUGGCAUAACGUCCAAUUUACAGGAAAAUGUUAGUUGUCAUACUUUGUAGAUGUGGAAGUAAAAAGUUGAAAAGUUUGGGCAAUAUGCCUAGGUUUAUAAAAUUAACAUGUCUUCUUACUCUUGGUUGGACUGAAUAAAAGAGUUAUUAUGAUGCAAUGAAAGGAUUAUAAGACUUCCAUUCUAAUCUUAACUUUGUUACUUAACACCAGUAGGACUUUGGACAAGAGAUUUUGCCUUCCUCAAUUUCAGCCUCUUAAUCUAAAAGAGGAGGAUAUUGACAUGUCACAAAGGGAAAAAAUGAAUUUCUAAUGGUUGCAGAGACUUCACCGCACUGUCAAAGGGGUCCAGGACACAAAAGAGAAUAUGAGAGCAUAUGCCCUUGCUUGAGGAUGUUUCAAGUGAUACUUUCAGCUAUCCAAGAGCCUUCCAGACUCCAGUCACAGGAGAGAAGCGUUUUCAUCCCAUCCAUUCAUAGAUUUGCCUCCUGA